ACCGAAUAGAUACCCGGGUAGUCCACGCCCUAAACUAUGUCAACUAGUUGUUGGGAGAGUUAAAUCUCUUAGUAAACGCAGCUAAACGCGUGAAGUUGACCGCCUGGGGAGUACGGCCGCAAGGUUAAAACUCAAAGGAAUUGACGGGGACCCGCACAAGCGGUGGAUUAUGUGGAUUAAUUCGAUGCAACGCGAAAAACCUUACCUACCCUUGACAUGUACGGAACGGGGCAGAGACGUCCCGGUGCCCGAAAGGGAACCGUAACACAGGUGCUGCAUGGCUGUCGUCAGCUCGUGUCGUGAGAUGUUGGGUUAAGUCCCGCAACGAGCGCAACCCUUACCAUUAGUUGCUACAUUCAGUUGGGCACUCUAAUGGGACUGCCGGUGACAAACCGGAGGAAGGUGGGGAUGACGUCAAGUCCUCAUGGCCCUUAUGGGUAGGGCUUCACACGUAAUACAAUGGCCGGUACAGAGGGUUGCCAACCCGCGAGGGGAGCCAAUCCCAGAAAGCCGGUCGUAGCCCGGAUUGUUCUCUGCAACUCGAGAGCAUGAAGUCGGAAUCGCUAGUAA
rnacentral:rRNA from 1 species